rnacentral:rRNA from 1 species
AUGGUGUGGUCCGUCCGCGUUCCCCUAAAGAUCCGCAUAUUCAUGUGGUAGUGGAUUCGCGGCCGGGUCCCGUCUGGAGUGGAGGUCUGCAAGCGCAAUGGCCCGGGCACCGGUAUCUGCCCACUCUGUGGAGUCCCUGAAGACUCGAACCACAUCUUCUUCUCCUGCGUUUCCACCCAGUUCCUCUGGAGCUGCUUUCGCGAGGUGGUCAGUGGUAGUUGGUGCCACACCAAUUUCCCGGACCUUUUUGCUGAACUCCAGUUGUCCCCCGUUGUCCCCCGCGUCCUCUCGCCACAUUAG